GUCAGUAUGAGAACACCAGAGGCCAGAGAGGUGCUUCUGGAGGUUUACAUCAACGGCGCCUUACACUCCGCUUACGGUUGCUUCGCAUUAGAUGAUAAAGAUGUGCAGCUGGAGUUUGAGAUCGCCGACGCCAUCUACGACCUUAUCGGCUGCAGCGCAUCUCAAGACGUAGAUGUGAAGCUGCAGGUCGUAACGAACGAUAAGGUCUCCAUCAGUUACUGUAGUCCAGGAGAGAUGCGCCUGCAGCUGGAGGUUAACGAGAAUGAUGGCAGCUCGGUCUGUGACGUGAACGAUUUGCUGCUGGAGAUGAACGGGAACGAUGGCAUCUCAGAGCUGAAGAACCCUACGCUGGUGAUCUACGCUGAAGAUCUGCGCGAGCCGGAAGCUUUAGUGCAAGUGGAGAAGAACCGCCCAACAGAAAACACUGCUAGGCGGAUGUUCAAGAAAAUUAAGGCAUUCUCCCAACGAAUUCGUGCAUUUCCCCAGAGAAAAACGCCGAAGUCUGUUGGGCAACCUGAAGUGGAUCUUCUGGAUCCAGAGGAAUCAUGUGUCCCAGAUCCAAGAGCUCCUGAGCCAGAACCUGAAAUGGAUCUAGUCAAUACCGAGCAAUUUUGUAUUCCUGAAAUGGAUCUGGUUGCUCCCCCAGAAACAGAUCUGAUUGCUCCUCCUGAACCUAAACUGGAUAUGGUUGAUCCAAAGGAAUCGUACGUCAGCCCAAAAGAAAGUACCAAAGUGAUGAAGAUUAAGAAAGUUCAUGGCUUCGUCAUGACCAAGAAAGCAGAAUAUGUUGCAGUGAGGAACAUAAAGAAAAUUAGCAUCGCUGCAUGGCCUGAGAUGGACCUGAGCGUUCCUAAACCAGAACCUAAAUGGGAUCUGGUUGAUUCGGUGGAACUGUACACCCCGGGUCUAGGUGUUCCAGAACCUGAAGAAGAUCUGGUUGCUCCUUCAGAACCUAAAUGGGAUCUGGUUGAUGCAGUAGAGCUGUACUCUCUGGGUUCAAACGUUCCUGAGCCAGAUCCUGAACUUGAACGGGAUCUGGUUAAUUCAGUGGAACUUUAUGCCCCGGGUCCAAGUGUUCCUGAGCCGAACCCUGAAGAGGAUCUGGAUGAUCCUCCUGAACGUGAAUGGGAUGUGGUUGAUUCGGUGGAAUUGUACGCCCCGGGUUCAAGCUUCCCUGAGCCGGAACCUGAAGAAGAUCUGGUCGAUUCGGUGGAGUUGAAUGUCCCGGGUCCAAGCGUUCCCAAGCCACAACCUGAAUGGUAUCUGGCUGCUCUAGAUGAUCCAAGCAUUCCUGAGCCGGUUUCAAGGUUGGAAAACUACAUCCCUUUAAACAUGUUCCAACUGGAGGAUCGUUUGAAGAAAUGCACACUGCUCAAAGAAAGACACGUGUCUAAUGUCUGGCCCAGAGUCUUCAUCGGAGAUGAAGAGAUCGCAACAGACCGAGAUGCGCUGAAGGAGAUGUGCAUCACUCACAUCCUCAACGCUGCAGCCCAAAAGAAGGACCUGAAGUAUUACUUGGGAACAUUUAAUGAUGAAGACAUAGUAGGAUCGGUCAAUACAAGGUCCAGAUAUUACAGAGGCUUGCACAUCAAUUAUUACGGCUUGCCUACAGCGGACAGAUGCUGUUCUGACAUCAGCGAGUACUUCAUGCCAGCCGCCAAAUUCAUUGACAAGGCCCUGGAUAAGCGAGCGAGUAAGGUGCUGAUUUGCUGCAAGCAGGGUGUCGAGCACUCGGCGACUCUGUUUCUGGCGUAUCUGAUGAUCUGCCAUGACAUGAUGGUGGAGGAGGCUGUUGAUCACGUCAUGAAGUCGAGAUGCAUCAGGCCCUCCAGAGACGUCCUGAAGAAGCUGAUGCUUCUCAAUGCUGACCUUGUGCAGCAGCGAAAACUAAAGCUGCAGGGCAUAAAAACAGGCAGAAACAGGAAAAAAUGGCAGCUAAAAAAAAAUUAGAGCGUGGAUAUGAAAAAGUGCACAGAUAAAAACAAAACAGAGCAAAACAAGUUAAAAUAAAAUAGCACAGAUAAAAACUGCUAAAUAAAAACUGAGCAAAAUAAAAAUAAUAAUUAAAAAAAAAAAAUUAAAUAAAAUUAAAUAAAAUAUUGAAAUUAUUAUAAUUUUUUGCACUUUUAAUGUAUUUUUAUGUAUUUUUUACAGUGCAGAUGAAUAAUUGCACAGAUAAAAACUAAAUAGAGCACAUAAAAAAACUACAGAUGAAUAAGUUAAAAAAAUAUAAAAUAAAAAUAAGUAACGUAAUAAAAAAUUAUAUUUUGUAAAAAUAUAUAUACAUAAAUGUGAGCAAAAUCAGAAAUCGUUCAAAUCAAAUCUCUGCACAUAGUUCAAUAAAACAAUCAAAAUAUAAAAAGUUAUGAAGUGUUGUUGUUGUCAGUGUUGUUGUUCAGAAUUCCAUCAUGAUAUGUUUUGAUUUUAUACUUUUACACCAAACACCAUCUUUUCUAAGAACAAAUUCCAAGCUUGCAUAGAAAAUAAAAAGUGUUUUUUUUUUUUUUUUUAGAAAUUAGACUUUUCCAAAAUUUGAAGCAUUUUGAUGCUUUUAUUUAUCCACCUUAUUUUUGCAAUUUGGAAGUUAUUUUCUGUGCUACAUGAUCCUUCAGAAAUCAUUCUAAUAUGCUGAUUUGCUGCUCAAGAAACGCUUCUGAUUAUUAUCAAUUCGUGUGUGUGUGUGUGUGUGUGUGUCGUCUGUUUCAGUCCCAUCCGAUGGUUGAUGCUGUGGAUCUGCAUCAGUCUGCUGUGGGUUAAUGAAGGUUUAAAUGUCACUUACAGCCUGAAGGAAACACUAGAAAACGUUUGAUCAGCAUCUAAUCAAAGCAUCAAUUAAUCAGGAUUACAGCUUUAAUUGAGGUUUAAUUGUGAAGCACAGAAUGCGUGUAAUCGUGUUACUGCAGCGGGACACAUGAGCCUGAACAUCCGUCUGGAGAUUAAUAUCCUCAUAUCAUCUGCAUUAUUCUGCAGCUCUGUUUGUGUGUGUUUGAGAGAGAGAGCGUUUAUUUUUGUGAGUGUGUGCAUGUGUUUGUGUCAUUGUGUACGUGUGUGUAUUUGUGUGUGUGAGUGUGCGCAUGUUUGUAAUUGUGCAUGUGUGUGUUUGUGAGUAUGUGUUUGUAAUUGUGCAUGUGUUUAUGAGUGUGUGCAUGUUUGUGAUGUGUGCAUUUGAAUGUGUGCACGUUUGUUUGUGUGUGUUUGGGCUGAUUGUGUCUCAUCCAGUGUUCAUGUGCAAUCAUUCAUUUUAUUGUGUUUCUUUAACAGAAAAGCACUGCGGGUCUGGUCUCAUGAAUCCACCUUCCAUCCAUCUUUCCUUCUUCAGAAUAACUCAUGAGUUUUAACACCAGGAACACAAUCAAAAAGAAGCAGCACCUGGAUAAAUGAGGGACUGAUCAAUAAAAAGCCUGACUCUGGAAACCCGCUUCUCGACAGUCGUUGAGGGAACAAAAUAAAAUAAGAACUUUGAUACCAGUUUGCAUCUUGAUUUUCAUCUGCCAUAAUGUAUUUGACAAAUGCUUUCAGUAAAAGCGUCUUGCAUUGCAUUCGCAGCGAACAUCAUUCAUGCUUUCUGUUUCUGUGUCGUUUCAUCACAAGACCUGAACAAGACCUGCAGGAAUAUGCAGAAGAUGAAGUAUUGGAGCAGUGAAGACAAAAUUGCUCUGUUGGCUGUGGAGUCAAGACAUUUACAGAUAUGAUGAAAAGAUGAAUAUGAGACAAAACUACAGAAUGUCACAUUUCAUUAUUAGCCGUUUCAACACAUACAUGUUUUACCAAAUAAAAAGAACAGCACUUUUAGAGUUCAUCCCACUCAUUGAUGUGAGCAGAAGUAUUGGGACAGUUGAACAUAAGCUAGAUAUAAAAGAUUAAAAGCUAUUAUUUAGUUGCAGAUCCCUUCCCAGCAGUGAGUCUGUGACCCAUAGACAUCACCAGACUCUUGCUCUCAUGCUUUCAGAUACUUUCCCAGCCUUUAAUGCAGCCGAUUCCAACUGUUGCUUGUUUUGGGGAGUUUCUGCCUUUGCUCUCCUCUUCAGCUGCUGAAAUUCAUGUUCAAUCAGAUUUAAAUCUGGACAUUGACUCGGGCAAUCUAACACUUUCCAUUUCUCUGCUCUUAUAAACUCCUGGACUGAAGUGGCAGGUGUUUUGAGUCAUUGUCCUGAUGCAAUAUGAAGCACUUCUGAAUGAAUCUGGUGGCAUUUUCUUGAAUAUUGGUAGGUAAGAUGGUUUUGUACUCUUCCUAAUUCAUUCUGCUGCUGUCAUCAUAACCAUAAACUCUUCUGGUUCACCUUUGUGCUUUUUAUAAACUCUAAUCUUGCCUUUCUAUUUCUGGAGCUGGUCAGAGGUUUGUAUCUUGCUGCGUAGCAUCUGUAAUUCUGUGUCAGAGUCUCCUGAGGACAGUAGAUCGUCAGAGCAUCACCCAGCUUUCUGGAAGUUUCUUAACAGACACGUCUUUUAAGAUUCAUUUUCACAGCUUUUAUGAUUUGUCUGUCAUCAGCUGCUGUUGUUUUCUCAGUUUAUCAGGUAGUUGUUGGUUGCUGGUGUCCUCUUUUCUUUUAGCAUCUAAAUUGCUUGCUUUUCUCUCGAAGUCAGCUCCCUCGUCUUCAUCCUGGUUUGUGUGCGUCAUCAUCAAAUGCAAGACUCAGAAUGCAGAAGUAAUGGAUAUAACUGAUACAUCACAUUCCCUGCUUUUAAUAUCUGAAGAAUUAAUGCAACGGGACACAGCUGAUCACUCAGAAAGACCUGCGAGGCAACGGUUCCAAUACUUCUGCUCACGCAUCAGAUCGAGGGAUGAACUCUACAAGUGCUGAUCUUCUGAGCUGGUGAUUGAUGGACUUUGAUGGAAAGCUGAGGCGAGAACAUCAUCAGAGCAUCGGUCGUGAGUUUUCUGACCCGUUUAUUAGGUGCAACCUGCUGCCGUCUGACGUCUCUUAUGAAAUAUGAAUUAUAAUGAUGAUCUGAAACUGAAGUUGAACCCGAGCUCUGACUCAGCCUGCACAAAGACAAAAACAGAAGCUGCAGAGAUCGAUAAUUCACAACAAGCCCGCAGAGAAAGGUCAGAGAGACAGAAACGCACGAGGCUGAUCAUAUUCCUGCUGUUUUAUGAUCUCCAUCAUAUGAUUGUGUGGCUUUGAUGAACGCUGAGCUGAGGAAACUGCGUUUGUGUUAUUGUCAGGAAUCAUUCACGCCACACUCAAGCUUAACCCUCUGGGGUUGUUCAGGCAUUUUAGACCAAAAAAAAAUGUUUUUUGAAAUUUUAAAAAUCGCUACUUCAUCAGAAUGGUAUGAAACUCGAUGACUUAUAUGGAAGUUGGUAUGUGAGCACAAAAAAAAAUUGUGGACUUGAUUGGAAAAUGCUAAAUGGUUGUAAAAAAAUAUAUAUAUUCACUCUUGUGUUUUUCUUGGUCAAAAAUGACCGCCAUUGGAAAUAAAUGGGAAAUACGGAAAAAAUAUGAAAAUACAGAGAUGUUUUUGUGUGUAUGAUCUACAAAUCAUUCGUGAUGUGCACAGCUAUGAAGGGGUGACAGUCUAAAAUAUAACUGACAUUACAAACAAACAUAAAAAAAACUAAUCUAAACCUUUUCAAAAAGUUGUCUUUGCGAAUGUGUAAAUAUGUAUCCAAAUCCACAACUUAAAAAAAUUAAAAUGUAUGUCUAAAAACAACUAGAGAAUUUAUUAAUUAGGAAUCUAGAGCCUAAACCACGGAAUUGCAGAAGUUUUUCUUUUUUUACUCCGACCUGAUGGCACUAAUCUGACUUUAAAAAAAUUGGAUUUUAAAGGCAUUGUCUCUAUUUUAACAUGAAAAUUACUGCCAUAAUUGAAAAGUAAUAGAAAAUAUUUGCAUUUUUUUUUUUUAUUGUUUUCAAUGGGAAAAAUUUUAUCAUAAUUAUUGCAUAAAUAUUAAUUAGUGGCAUGAAAUUCUCUCAAAAUAAAAAAAUAUUAUUAAAUAUUACAUAGAUUUUACUGAAAAAAAAAAAAAGUUACAUAUCAGGUGUCUGGUCAUUUUUGACAGCAAACAACACAAAAGUGACUCCCAAAUGAACACUUAGCAGAGGGUUGACCUUCGCUCGGAUGAGACGCGUGUGUCGGACAGAAUGAGGCUGAUGGACGGAGAUGCACACAAACACAGACGGACUGAGUUUGGGUCUGACACCAGAUACCACACACACUUCACCCGAUCACAGAUGAGUCACUCGCUCAUCUCAACCCAAACACCACACGCUCCAUGUGUUCAUGACUGUCUUACUUAAAGAUCAGCUCGCUUCAAACCUGUAUGCUUUUCUUUCUGUGAAAUAAGAAGAUCUUUUGGAGAAUGUC